CAGUCGCCGCGGUAAUACGUAGGGUGCAAGCGUUAAUCGGAAUUACUGGGCGUAAAGCGUGCGCAGGCGGAUAUUUAAGUCAGGGGUGAAAUCCCGCAGCUCAACUGCGGAACUGCCUUUGAUACUGGGUAUCUUGAGUAUGGAAGAGGUUAGUGGAAUUGCGAGUGUAGAGGUGAAAUUCGUAGAUAUUCGCAGGAACACCAGUGGCGAAGGCGGCUAACUGGUCCAUAACUGACGCUGAGGUGCGAAAGCGUGGGGAGCAAACAGGAUUAGAUACCCCGGUAGUCCCUGUCUCUUAUAC
rnacentral:rRNA from 1 species